rnacentral:lncRNA from 1 species
GGAGUCUCGCUCUGUCACCCGGGCUGGAGUGAGUGGUGCAAUCUCGGCUCACUGCAAACCUCCACCUCCCGGGUUCAAGCAAUUCUCUUGCCUCAGCCUUCCGAGUAGCGGGGAUUACAGGUGCCUGUCACCACGCCUGACUAGUUUUUUGUAUUUUUAGUAGAGAUGGGUUUCAUCACGUUAGCCAGGAUGGUCUCGAUCUCCUGACCUCAUGAUCCACCCGCCUUGGCCUCCCAAAGUGCUGGGAUUACAGGCGUGAGCCACUGCGCCCAGCCUGCACUCAUUUCUUGAAAGAUAUGCAAGGAAAAGCUCUGUCCAAAAGAUUCUCCUGUUCUUCACAGGCUCAUGCUACUCCAACACUAAUGCUUCUUUCUUGGCCUCCUUCCUCUGUCCAGCAUUGAGUUACUACCUUCCAUUCUCCAAAGGCCCAUAUUGAAAAACAAUCAAACAGAAUCAACUUUGCCAAAUGACAUCCUUACAAAGACUAAGCACGGAAAAAGAGAAAACGGGAGGGAGCAGGGAGGUACACUAUUGGAAGCCCCGUGGAAUUACAGGCUAAGAAUAAAAGAGGCUGACUGGAAAGCAGAUCUGAAGACAAAACAAGAAGCAAAAGGCAUGGGUGACUUGAGGAAGAGGACGGGCCCUAGGUCAGGACUGCCAUGUCUUGGUACUUGUUAUUUUUUAUUUAUUUAAUUAUUUUUGAGAAGGAGUUUCGCUCUUGUUGCCCAGGCUAGAGGGCAGUGAUGCAAUCUCGGCUCACUGCAACCUCCGCCUCCUGGGUUCAAGCGAUUCUCCUGCCUCAGGCUCCCAAGUAGCUGGGAUUACAGGUGUCUGCCACCACGCCUAGCUAAUUUUUUGUAUUUUUAGUAGAGACGGGGUUUCUCCAUGUUGGCCAGGCUGG